rnacentral:rRNA from 1 species
GUUAGGAAUAUUGGACAAUGGGCGCAAGCCUGAUCCAGCCAUGCCGCGUGAGUGAUGAAGGCCUUCGGGUUGUAAAGCUCUUUAGCCGAUGAUUAUAAUGACUGUAGUCGGAAAAUAAGCCCCGGCUAACUUCGUGCCAGCAGCCGCGGUAAUACGAAGGGGGCGAGCGUUAUUCGGAAUCACUGGGCGUAAAGCGUGCGUAGGCGGCUUUGCAAGUUGGGAGUGAAAGCCCAGGGCUCAACCCUGGAAUUGCUCUCAAAACUGCAAGGCUCGAAUUCGGGGGAGGAUAGCGGAAUAGUCAGUGUAGCAGUGAAAUGCGUAGAUAUUGACAGGAACACCAGUGGCGUAAGCGGCUAUCUGGACCGAUAUUGACGCUGAGGCACGAAAGCGUGGGGAUCAAACAGGAUUAGAUACCCUGGUAGUCC